GACGAACGCUGGCGGCGUGCUUAACACAUGCAAGUCGAGCGGUAAAGGCCCUUUCGGGGGUACACGAGCGGCGAACGGGUGAGUAACACGUGGGUGACCUGCCCUCAGCUCUGGGAUAAGCCUGGGAAACCGGGUCUAAUACUGGAUAUGACUCCAUGACGCAUGUUGUGGGGUGGAAAGCCUUGUGCGGCUGAGGAUGGGCCCGCGGCCUAUCAGCUUGUUGGUGGGGUGA
rnacentral:rRNA from 1 species